CCUACGGGAGGCUGCAGUGGGGAAUAUUGGACAAUGGGCGAAAGCCUGAUCCAGCCAUGCCGCGUGUGUGAAGAAGGCCUUCGGGUUGUAAAGCACUUUCAGUGGGGAAGAAAGCCUUGGGGCUAAUACCCUCGAGGAAGGACAUCACCCACAGAAGAAGCACCGGCUAACUCCGUGCCAGCAGCCGCGGUAAUACGGAGGGUGCGAGCGUUAAUCGGAAUUACUGGGCGUAAAGCGCGCGUAGGCGGUCUGAUAAGCCGGUUGUGAAAGCCCCGGGCUCAACCUGGGAACGGCAUCCGGAACUGUCAGGCUAGAGUGCAGGAGAGGAAGGGAGAAUUCCCGGUGUAGCGGUGAAAUGCGUAGAGAUCGGGAGGAAUACCAGUGGCGAAGGCGGCCUUCUGGACUGACACUGACGCUGAGGUGCGAAAGCGUGGGUAGCAAACAGGAUUAGAUACCCGAGUAGUC
rnacentral:rRNA from 1 species